GACGAACGCUGGCGGCGUGCUUAACACAUGCAAGUCGAACGGAAAGGCCCUGCUUUUGUUGGUUGCUCGAGUGGCGAACGGGUGAGUAACACGUGAGUAACCUGCCCUUGUCUUUGGGAUAACUUCAGGAAACUGCGGCUCAUACCGGAUAUGAGCUCCUGCUGCAUGGUGGGGGUUGGAAAGUUUCGGCGGUUGGGGCUGGACUCGCGGCUUAUCAGCUUGUUUGUGGGGUAGUUGUUUACCAAGGCUUUGACGGGUAGCCGGCCUGAGAGGGUUACCGGGGACAUUGGGACUGAGAUACGCACCAGAAGCGUACGGGAGGCAGUAGGGGAGAAUAUUGCACAAUGGGCGGAAGCCUGAUGCAAAAACGCCGCGUGCGGGAUGACGGCCUUCGGGUGGUAAACCGCUUUGGCAUGUGACGAAGCGUGAGUGACGGUAAUGGGUAAAGAAGCACCGGCUAACUACGUG
rnacentral:rRNA from 1 species